rnacentral:lncRNA from 1 species
AUGAAAUGCUAUGAACAUGAUGUUCAAUCGACUAUCCUAUUGUUGUAAAAUUUGUUAUUGUUCAAACACUACUUGAAACUUCCAAAGGAUCACAAUAAUUCUCUCUCUGGUUUGCAAUAUUUUGCUGACGUGCUUUUUUACCCUCGGUUUAAAGUUUGAAGUUGAUCCGUAACGUUUCUGGUCGUACAGUCGUCCUUUGAUCAUUUACAACACAAAUUAGUCUAGUCUUUUUUGCACAUAGUCGUGCUUUGACCUUGCAGCCGAGUAUGAUAAGCCAAAUUAU